CCUUGGUGCACUUGUUGAAGCUCUGCAGGAUGUCCCAUCCCCAGUCUCUGUGCUUGGCGUCUUUAGUGAAUCUGUACAUGUAGAAGAGACUUUCCACCGUCUCUGGCCUCAGCAGGUUGUGUUUGUCUGCAGGCU